rnacentral:rRNA from 1 species
GACGAACGCUGGCGGCGUGCUUAACACAUGCAAGUCGAACGAAGUGGCGAACGGGUGAGUAACGCGUAAUCAACCUGCCCUUCAGAGGGAGACAAAAGUUGGAAACGACUGCUAAUACCGCAUACUGAAGGCGUGGAUUGCGUCUGAUUAGCUAGUUGGGGGGGUAACGGCCAACCAAGGCGAUGAUCAGUAGCCGGGCUGAGGGGAUGAACGGCCAAAUUGGGACUUGGACACGGCCCAGACUCCUACGGGAGGCAGCAGUGGGGAAUCGUCCGCAAUGGACGAAAGUCUGACGGAGCAACGCCGCGUGAGGGAUGACGGCCUUCGGGUUGUAAAGCUCUGUUAAUCGGGACGCGGUACCGGAAUAGAAAGCCACGGCUAACGACGUGCCAGCAGCCGCGGUAAUAC